rnacentral:misc_RNA from 1 species
CCAGAAUCGACUUGUAAAGAUCGAUCGUUCGUGCUUCGUCGGGCUGCUCGAAGGAUCCAACGGCGCCGAAUUUCGAAAAUCGAUUGAAAAACCAGGACGGUUACGCUUACCGCGGUCACGCUGACGUCGAGAAUUUUCUCGAGUUUACUUCUGACGCGACACGACACGACUCGUUUCUGUCUCGCGCGAGCCAAUCCAUCAACCGUACGCAGCAGUAUUAGAUACAGCAGUGAAAAAGGGAAAGGAGAUUAUCGUCACGUAAUAUUCACGUCAAAACGCCAGGGACGAGAGAAAGAUCUGGGCGAACUCAGCUUAUACAGCAGCGCGUUCAGUACAGUACAGUAGCAUCCACGGCUAGAGAAUCAGUCGAAUUCGAUCGCGCAGUGCUUUAAUCGAAUCGCGUGGCUCUUCAGAUACAUUAGAAAGUGUCGAUAGAAAAAUUCGAGUGACCAAUUUUCCAUCGUCUAACGUUCAACAAUAUGUCCAUGUACGGUCAAUCGCCUCUCGGCGAUUUGGAAGACGAUCCGAUCUAUGGCGCUCACAUGCAGUCGAUGCAGACAAUGCAGCAAAUGAACAACAUGAUGAAUUCUAUUUUACAAAACCCCUUUGGAAUGAUGGGUAUGGGAGGCAUGGGUGGCAUGGGAGGUAUGGGAGGUAUGGGUGCUAUGGGCGCUCCUGCACUGAUGGAUGUUCGUCCCCAAAGUGCCAUGCAUCCAAUGCAAAUGUCACCAUUUGGUUUUCCACUCAUGGCAUCUAUUGGUCAAAUGUUUUCUAAUAUGGACAACAUGGGAGCUAUGGUACAAAGUAAUAUGGGAAAUAUGGGAAACCCAAAUUGCCAUUCAUUCACCAGUAGUUCAGUCAUGACAAUGACCAGUGGUUCUGACGGACGACCACAAAUAUAUCAAGAAUCUACGUCAACAAGGGUAGCACCAGGUGGAGUGAAAGAAACAAAAAAAACUGUCAGUGAUUCACGUACUGGUAUUAAAAAAAUGGCAAUCGGUCAUCAUAUUGGUGAACGAGCACAUAUUCUUGAACGAGAACGAAAUUAUCACAGUGGAGAGCAAGAAGAAAGACAAGAGUUUAUCAACCUAGAAGAAGAGGAAGCUGAAACUUUCAACCACGAAUGGCAACAAAAAGCCAAACAAACAAUGGGUGCUAUUGGUGGAGCUCCUUACAGACAAAAUCUUUAUAGACCCCAUCAAAAUGAACAGUUAGCAUUGCCUGGCACAGUUCCUAGUAGUAUGACUAGUGAACAAAUUAGACAAUCGCAAAGACCUGUAGCCCAACCCAGACAUCACCAACGAAGACCUGAACAUCCGCGAAAUCAAUAUCCUAAUGGCGAUGUUCAACGGUACAGCUACCACUAAAUUAAAAAAAAACCUUAAUUAAAAAGCGCUGACUCGUUACCGAGUUCUAUAGACUAACACAGAGACCGCGACGAGCAGCAGCAGUUCCAGGGCGCACGACAACAACCACAGCGAUGACGACGACGACGAAGAAGAAGCCGA